ACAGGACCAGGGUGCCAAGCAACAGGGCUGGCUUGGCCUUCAUCAUAACAACAUUCACAAAAUGCUGGAGUAGAUGGCAACCAAUCACAUACACAAGGAAGAGGUGUACUCAGGGACAGCACCAGGAUAGAGGUAAAACCGGCUGUCUCCCUCUGGUGAUCCCAGCUUGAGAAUCCAGACUUCCCCUAAAUCUGUAUGAUGCCAUCAGUUCUGUAUGAUGCCAUCAGUUCUUGGUCACACUUGGGAGUGUAAUGGAAUGUCAGAAAUUGGCUUAUCUCACUCUACAGAGAUGUCUACUGUUUCAUCUGUUCAAAUUUUGCUGGUAGGUAAAAAUGCUUUGUAGAUAUGAAGGCUAUGAAGAGUCACCCCUACAAAGUCAGGUACACUGGCCAACUUAUAUAUACUAAUAGCUACUCAAAUCUUCAUGUGCUCCUGAUAAUGUUAGCCAGAACUGUACUACUAACACACACAAAAGAAACACUGAACAAGCAGAUCUGGGGUGCUCCAAUGUACAGUGAUAUCUCGGGUUAAGUACUUAAUUCGUUACGGAGGUCCGUUCUUAACCUGAAAAUGUUCUUAACCUGAAGCACCACUUUAGCUAAUGGGGCCUCCCGCUGCUGCCGCGCCGCCGGAGCACGAUUUCUGUUCUCAUCCUGAAGCAAAGUUCUUAACCCGAGGUAAUAUUUCUGGGUUAGCGGAGUCCGUAACCUGAAGUGUAUGUAACCUGAAGCGUAUAUAACCUGAGGUACCACUGUACAAACAAGCACAACACAUCUGCAGGGGUGAGGAGCACUGGCAGGUUGGAAAGAGGGGGGAGUAGAAUAAAAUGACUAGAAUUAGACAGAGAAACUACACACGAGAGAGAGAGAGAGAGAGAACUGCCUGCAAACAUCAGUGGAGAAAUUAAAAAAAUUAACAGAGCUUGGAUUGGGCACAAGCGCUUCCAUCCCUCCCUCCCACCCUCCAACAAACCCAAAUUGGAGAAAAAACAAAAAAAGGAGGAGUGAAUCCAAGGAAGACGAAGCUUACUCAGAGAGCAUGAAGUGCUCACUGACUGGUGGCAGUGGAACUGAGGAGGAGGGAUUCCGCAUUGACACAUUUUUUUGCAGGGCCCUGUGUGUGUGUGUGUACGUGCAUGCAUGCACACACACAUUAUAUGAUUAUAUCUCGGUCCUCAGUGAAAACUGAAAAGGAAUAUUCUGCUCAUAUGACAAUGCAUAAUGUAAUUUUCUAUGUUCUAGGGCAAAGUUCCUUUCCAGUCCUGCAUCUGGAGACCAAGACAUUAAAAAAUCAGUCUGGGGCCUCAUAUGCAAAAUGCAUGUGUCCUUCCCAUAAAAGACCCUUUUUAAAGUUCUACUUUAAUUCAUAGGAAAUUAUUAUAACAAAUAAAUUAAUGUUCCUAGUCAAGUAAAGCGGAAAAAUUCAAUGAGAAUGAAGAGUUGCAUACACAAUCAAGAAGGGGGAAAGGGGGAAAUCAGUGUUUGCACCAAACGCAAGAAACAAAAGGCUUCCUUAUAUAUAGGACAGCCUCUGUACCACAGUCUUUAUUAACUCACUUAAUGAACAUUUAUAAAAAGGUUUUGUUUCAUGCAAUAACGACUGGGAAUUAAAAAACAACCAUUGUUAUAAUAUAUUAUUCCAAUCAAGUGUUCAGCAACAGCAAAAAGAAUUCCAUUAAAUGGUUAACCUUCAGGACCAGAAAAAAACAACUCAUAAAAUUUUGAAAUUUAAGUUUUCAAAAGUUUCCAAUCUUGAUAUUGAAAUCUGACAAUGUUCAAAACUCACCCUCACUGAAUACUCACUGAAUUAAAUGGCGUAUUCUGCCAAAUACUCUCUAUUGCUAUUGCUAUUCUGUGCAAACUGUCAAAUAUUGUCAAAUUUUGAUGGCUGUUUCCGCUGCAGAAUCUUUGUUUCCUACAUGCUGCCAGACAACAAAUAUUUGCCAAUUAUUAUCACAUGCUGAAAAUAUACUCCAAAAAUUGUGAGCUAAUUUUGUGGAAAAUUAUGGAACACAAUUUUGUUUUCGCUCUUGUAGGGUAGGCCUGGAUAAUUUUUGUCCCCUCACAAGCAAUGAAUUAUAUCAACAGGAAUUUGUGAUUUAUUGCUACAGCAUGAUUAGAUAUUUAAACCCAAUUGUUGCUCACUUCCUACCAUGACAAUUGACAAGGAGGCACUGUUUGAAGAAUUACACAACUAGGGCAUGUCUGAAAACAUUCAAAACCUCUCCAUCAAUACAAUGCAAAAAUAUAAUUUGCUUUUGAGAUUAACAUUUUCAAAUGACUUGGAGCACAAAAAUAGCAAAGGGAAAAAAACUUUAAAAUCCCUAUAGUCAACCCCCGCCCCAACUUCAAGUCUUGUUUUUCUGCAAAGGAGGUACAAGUAAAUUUAGCAUGCACUCUAUUAUGUUAUAUGCAACGAAAGUGUAUCCAGAUGCAUUCAGGACUGGGGAUAGAGGAGAAAUUCAAUUUGGUAAGCAAUUAAAGCCAAAUCUAUAUAAUCCACACUUUCCAAAACAUGCAAACUGAAAUACAGCUAUCCUUCAAAAUCCACACUUACCUGAAUUUUGAGAUGUAGUUCUCUAACCCAACAAAAUUUACAAAUAGUAGUGGGAAGUGUGAAUAAAAAUGAAGAUACUCGUGAAAACAUAUAAAAAUGCAUUUAUAUUAGGGAAAUUUCCUUGCAAAAACAUGUGCCUUAGUCAAAGCCACAUAUAAAAAUCUGUUUAUUUUGAGAAAUUUGCACUAAAAUACUGAUAUUAUUAUUAUUAUUAUUAUUAUUCCACAAAUUGCUGCUAAAUGCUAAAUGAAGGAACUGAAUUUAAGAUUGCAAAAAUGAAAAACAGUGAGAUCCAAAAUAGACAGAUCUUUCCAUCCCUACUCUGCUUUUUAUGUUUCAUUUCGUUUCUACUUCUGGAUGCAUAUCCUUGAAUGCUAUCAAACUUUCACUCACGAAGGAUCUACAGGGUCAGAAGAGGUUGCCAUGGGGAAAAGAAGCCAAAAGUGUUUUAGUGCAAGUGGAGAAGCAACCUUGCAGUUUCUGAAUGCACAGUAUUAGAACUCAGUGCUGUUUUGAGCCAAUAAAGAUGUGUGAAACAUCUUCAUUCCAUAAGUUCAAAGCUUUAGAAAGAUUCAAAUGUGUCGAACCACAACAGCAUUAUCCAAGCAACAACUCUUUCUGUCUGCCCCCAAAUGGAUUUGGUAUAAGUUCUGAAGUUUCAAAAACAAUUACUUUGAACAAUCUGUCCUCUGUACCAACACUGAAGGACAUGAUUUCAGUUCAAGUGUCCUCUCCAUAAAUUCCAGUAUUGCCAUGACACUAGCUGGAAAUCAAAAUGUGGAGUUUCAGAGCUAUAGGUCUGAGACAGCUCUUUCAAAAAGUAUUUUUCUUGCCAGCACUAAAAACAAAUGUUUCUCUACAUAGGGAGGACUUUUUUAAAAAGAAGGCAGAAAAGUAAGACCUAAAGAACACCUUUUUUUUACUGUUUGUGUGGGAUAGUCUUGCCAUGAGCCAGAUGUGAAGGAAUAAAAAGUGAAAGGCAGCAGCCAACAAAGCAUUAAACUAAAAAAAGCACAAUGCAGUCUCAAAUUUUUGAAACGUGAUGUCAAGCCCAUUCAGGAUGCCUACAAAUACAUUACAUUAAGCCUAGAUUUAGUAGGUGAUAAUUGAAAUCAGAGCUUCAGCUAUUACCACCAACAUGUUUCUAAAUAGUACCCAAUAAAUUUGCCUUCUGUUACCAUUUCUUUAUGACAGCUGGCAAAGUGCAACAAGAGAGUCUACACAUGGACAUUGUACUUAUUUUUGGUAGUUCUUGUCCUGUAUUGACCACUCCACUUGCAUAAUCUUAUGUAGUCAUCAGCCCAAAACACUUUGGAAUCAAUUUUGCAACAUAUCACUUGACACUCAAACAAUGCAAUACCUCUCUUUAAAUACCCCUCUUCCCAUUUCAUCCCCACCAUCUCACCACCAGUAUAAAUUCCUGGCCCUUACCUUCAUAAAUUUCCAUGGGCCUCAUAUUUCUGCCUUUUCCCGAUAUAUCCCUGCCUGUGAUAUUUAAAAUGGCAAUUUAUAAUCCACAGCCAUACGAAGGUCUGUUCUUACAACUGAUUCUUGCUGUCACUUAUGUCUGGUACCUUAUUCCUGAACAUGUAUCUCAUAGUUGCCUCCUCCAGAUCCCUCUUCAGAACUCAGAUUUUCUACAAAGCCCUUGGGUUUAGAUAUUUAGUUCUCACUCUCAAUGCUAAUCCAAUUCAAGUAUGGUUCAAAAGAAGUCCCUCACUCAUAAACUGAAUGAAUGAACAAAUGAAUUAAUGAACGAAUGAACAAGAUGGUAACAGGACUUCCCCUAAAUUGUUUGCUGUCAGAAACAGGACGCUGACUAGCCAGGCGUUUAGUCUGAUACAGCUGUACUAUGCUUAUGAAAGUGCCCAUUGGCCAUGCCCCGCACAUUCAGUGGUAGUGAGGAGUGACUGUAAGUUCAUGCAGUUGAAGAGGGCUCCAGCUGAUCAGAAACUGAUUUACUGGGGUUUCCAAUCAUGUGGAGGAGCUGUACAUGUGUUGGGCUCAUUUCUCACUAAACAAUGAAUGUGCACCUGCAAGGUGGGCACAACAGAUGGUUGUGUUAGUUUGAGGGAUGUGUGGGCAGUGGGCACUCUCACGUUAACUAUGAAGGUGUGCCUUUGGACAUCCUUUAUGUGUAACUGUGGUUUUGCACAUCUAUCACAUGGUUCUCUCUUCAACACCCACUGUUGUUGUCUUCCCUAGAAUCAAGAUUCGCAUUAAUGGGCCCAUUCCUCUAGCAAGCUCGAAUUCUCUUACCAGAGGAGGAAACUUCAACCAAUGUGCACCUCUGCUCGCUUUUGAAAACAUGCUUGUUCAGAAAGUCCUUUGGUUUCACAUAGGGCUAGAAUUUUUUACUGGCUGCCAUAUUAAUUAGCAAGAAUCUAUUGAAACCACACAUAUAUCUGCAAGUUUAAAAGUGUAAUAAAUUACAUAUUGCUUUAAACUCAGAAGCAUAUGGGAGAUCCAAAAUGAUAAUUUUGGCUAUUACUGGAUUAUCUUUCCUAGCUUCAUAAGCUUUAUGAAGCUGAGAAUGAGCUUUGAGAUCAGGCAUUCCUUGCUUCGCAUGCUAGCUAUGAUGUUUCAUUCCUGGCUUAAUGCAAACCAGGGUUCACUGUUUUGUCCAAACCAGAGAACUCUGGCUUAAUGUCAGCUAACAGAGCAGGAAAAUUUGCAUGGUUUGCGCUUAACAGGGAACUCUGGUUUGUAUUAAGCCAGGAGCAAACAAAACUGGCAUGCGAUGAGGCAAAGGAGGAAUGGUCAGCCUCAAUGCUCACUCUUGACUUAAUAAACCAUGGUUUACGAAGAUGGGAAAAAUCAUUCAGAUCCAACCAUUGUGGAAAACUUGUAUGUGUAAGGAACCAAAUUACAAAGAAGUAGGGUGUUAGUCUGUCGUAGCAAAAAACAGCAGUCUUGAGGCACCUUAAAGCACAACAUAUUUAUCAUGGCAUGAGUUCAUUACUAGAAUCCAAAUAAUCAAAUGCAUGAAGUGUUCUCCUAAAAUUGGCAGAUUAUAUACGAACAGAAGUAUUUUUAAAAAACACUAUAAGUAUUGAUGUCAGAGCAAAAGACCAUUAUAAGUAUAUUAAAGCUUAAAUGUAUGUAAAAAAACUGUAAUUUCAGUGACCAUUCACAAAACAGUGUUUAUGACAACGCAAACAUCAUGGCAUUGAUCAGCUAACUAACACCUGUAACAGUCCACAUGUUUCUGGACUUCCUACUGCUACAGCAUAGAAGAGCUCUCAUUCAUCCAUCCAUCCAUCCAUCCAUCCAUCACAUCUUAAGUCGCUCUAGCCUUCCUCCUCCCUCAGGCAUCUAGUUUUGCCAUUUGCUGGAAACCAAAGUCCUGUUUUGUACCAAGAACUCAACCAGAAGAAAAUGGAAUGUACCACAAUUUAAAUGUUGUUAAUUAAUACCCCCAAACAAGGGCUUCUUUACUUACCAAAAAAAAAGACAGGCACAGAAAUUUAUUUAUUUGUAGCAUUUGUGUUUAUUUGCAAGUCUUACUUUUAAGCCUGUCAUCCAAGUUGACCAUUUCUUACUUUUACACUACAAAAUCCAAAUCCCACUCUUCAGCACAAAAGCAAGCAACUCUGUCAUAGUUGUAUGUGCAGAUGUAUUCUGUAUGCCUUCAAUGGUCCCUCCAUUGAUAACCUUCCAACUCCCAUAAAAUCCAGAAAGAACCCCUUCUUACUGAGAAGCAUUGGUUCCCAGUUUACUGAGAAGACAAUGAUCAACUUUUGAUCAAAAGGUACAUAACCCUGUUACUUCCUGUCUACCUUCUUAGGUGUCCCUCCUGUUCAUUUCCUUGUUCAUUCAGAUGCUUUUCUUACUCUACAUAAAACCCAUGUGUUACCGGUAUAUGUUAUACGUUACCUUACAAAUGAGAUUUUCUGGUUUCCACAAGUCCAGAUUCCAACUCUGUCCCCAUAUUUGCUCAUGCAACAAUAUCAGUGGACUUAAUAGCAUAAACCAUAGCAUCAAGAGUUCAUUCACCUGCUUAUAUUCAAAGGUGUUAUAUGCUAUAACACUUGUGUUCUAUAUAGGGGGGAAAUGGACAUAAAUCUUACAUCACAACUGGCAAUAUUAAAUAAUAAAAAAAACCAGUGGGAGAGUUCCGUCUCUGAAAGGCCAACUUUGCCCCUAACCUAAAGGUGGCUAUUUUUAAAAGAAAGGGAUUUGAAAAGCAAGAGUGCAAUGUGAAACCGCUAAAUUACAAUGAAUCCAGAAGUUCAAUUCUAUCACCCGUGGUUUGAAUCAAGCUAACGGGUUUUUAAUCACACUAUAUGCAUUGAUUAGCUUACCAAUGCCACUAUGUACAGUCUGUACUGUAUUUCUUUUCACUCUGACCUCCUGGUUUACAACCAGGUUUACAACCUCACCCUCCAAACCGUGUGUGGUGGCGUGUGGUGUGUAAUCAGGAUUUGAGGGUAAUAUUUCAUGCAUAUGAUGUAGUGGCCUCUAAUAAAAACCUUAAUAAAUUUGUUUGUUUUUAAGAUGCUGCAAUACUUUAUGUUUUAGCUGAAAAAGCUAACAUGGCAACAAAUACUAUGUAUUUUGAUAACUUUCAUACACUAAAGAAACAAAAUUAACUGUUUCUUCCUUUUAAUUGUUGUAUCAGCAUGCAACCAGGUCUCUAGCUGUUAUUUUUUAAGCUUCAUUAUAUUAUAUUUCAAUGUCCAAUUGACGAAUAAUAGGACAAGAAAUUGCAGAAGAGGCAAUUUCAAAAAAUAGAUGCAAAUCAACAGGAAAAAAAUGCUUCAAAGCAUGUCUUUAUUGGGAUGAUUCUAUAUAUAUCUGAUAAUAAAUGAGCUUGUAACAAACAGGAAUCUGCAAAGGUUCCCUCCCAUCCUAUAUAGCUAAUUAUGCCAAUGCAACAUUACAUUUUCCUAAAUGCCUUAUAAACUGAUUUAGCUACUCAGAAAAAAAAUAUUGUUAAAUAGAUGUGAUAGAUGCAAGUUGAAAUAUUCAAAUUUCAAUUCUGGCACCAAUUCCCAGACCCCUUUCUCCAAGUAAUUUAAGGACUUCCUGAAGAUAGUUUUUCAUAUUCCUUUAAACUGACAUUUUAUCUUUCUACAGUAUCUCACCAGAAUGAGCAUGCUCUAAAACAAUGACAGGCCUUCUUUGGCUGUCAUCUCUCAUUCUGGCAAAGACAGAUGUCUUACGCUGGCUUAUGCCAAUAAUAGACCCGACAGGAAAAAAACAACAGAGACUACCUGCCUCUGAUGUAAAGGCACCAAUUCACAUUUGUGACACUCAUUUGUCAAUUAACAGAUUUCUCCCAUUGUUGACACAUGGGACUUAAAAGAUGUGGGCUAGAAAGUGAUGAAUUAAAAAAGACAGAUGAGUAAGCUAUGAGCUGCAAAGUAAUACUAUAAUGUGCUUUAGAUAGGAAUAUCAACUGACACCCCUGACAGGCCAUACACGGUUUUAUUUCAUUUUCCACUGUAUCUCAGCUUCAUACUUUGUCUUCUUUGUUCUCUUUUCAUCAAGCUCCUAACAUCUCAUUCUGACAGCCAGAGACAUUUAAGGCACUUUCGUUUCAAAUGCAAGUUAGCGUACUUGAUUUGUCAUUAAAAUGCAAAACGAUUGCCAUCCGCAGGUAAAAAUGUAGGUAAGCUUAAAAGGUUGUAUCUGCAAAGUAUAAAAGCUGAAAGUGGUUUCUGGCUGCUUGGCUUAACUCUUUCACUCACUGUUCAGAAUUUAAGGGAAAGAAUGAUUAUGUGUCUGAGAGAGGUCCAGCAAUGCAUGCACUUUUAAACUAAGUGCAAUUUUGUCAGUGGAACCACUCUACAGAGCUCGAUAACCACUUUGGCCACCUGUACUACAUACAUUAUACGAAACAUUACCACUAAGGGUUUGAAUUGGUAACAGAAUAAAUUCAUGUGCAACCCUGUGCCUCAUGCCCAGAUAUUGUGCCAUGCUAUAUUGUUCCCUUUUAAGAAGUGGAACACAGAUUCAUGGAGGUCAGGUCAAUCACAAACUAUUUCCCAUAACAGCUAAAUAGAACCACUGGUAUGCACCUGAAUACCAGAUGCUAGAGGAUGGCCAAUGGGAGAGAGCCCGUGUUUUCAUGCUCUACUCACAGACUUCAUGGAAGCAACUGGCUGGUCACUUUGGGUACUUGACUACAUGGAUUCUUAGUCUGAUUCAGUAAGACUCUUGUGUCCUGGUCUAGCACAAUGCUUUCACUGAUGAAGCAAUGUGGUACCAGUUCUCUACGGCAGAAUAUGAAUAUACUUAUUAUGCAUAUCUUCCCCAAGAUCACCAAAAUCAGUUUUGAUCUUCUGUUGGUAUGGAGUUACCAUGAAGUUACUCCAGGACCUCCAUCACUCUUACAAUUUUUUGAUACCUUCCUCUUCUUCUUCUGCAGUGUUCCCCACCCGACCCUACUUGCAACAGAGCCUCUUCAGGAGCAGGUGUUCAAAUCCCACUGCAGUUAGCACGGCUCAGUCAGUGGAUAGAAUGUCAGAUUUCAGCAGCUUUCAGGUAGGUGGUUCCUUUCAC